rnacentral:rRNA from 1 species
ACGGGUAGCCGGCCUGAGAGGGCGACCGGCCACACUGGGACUGAGACACGGCCCAGACUCCUACGGGAGGCAGCAGUGGGGAAUAUUGCACAAUGGGCGAAAGCCUGAUGCAGCGACGCCGCGUGAGGGAUGACGGCCUUCGGGUUGUAAACCUCUUUCAGCAGGGAAGAAGCGAAAGUGACGGUACCUGCAGAAGAAGCGCCGGCUAACUACGUGCCAGCAGCCGCGGUAAUACGUAGGGCGCAAGCGUUGUCCGGAAUUAUUGGGCGUAAAGAGCUCGUAGGCGGCUUGUCACGUCGGUUGUGAAAGCCCGGGGCUUAACCCCGGGUCUGCAGUCGAUACGGGCAGGCUAGAGUUCGGUAGGGGAGAUCGGAAUUCCUGGUGUAGCGGUGAAAUGCGCAGAUAUCAGGAGGAACACCGGUGGCGAAGGCGGAUCUCUGGGCCGAUACUGACGCUGAGGAGCGAAAGCGUGGGGAGCGAACAGGAUUAGAUACCCUGGUAGUCCACGCCGUAAACGGUGGGCACUAGGUGUGGGCAACAUUCCACGUUGUCCGUGCCGCAGCUAACGCAUUAAGUGCCCCGC